rnacentral:misc_RNA from 1 species
CAUAUUUUGUGACUUUUUUGAAAUAAAUAAUUACAUUUUUUAUUUCAAAAAACUUGUUUUUUUGUGUGAUUUUUUCUCAGGUUGGAGUGGUUGAUCUGUUCCUUUACAUGAUAAUGUAUACUCAGAUGCAUCUUGUAAUGUGAUUGUUGGCGACAUGGCACAUGUAUUAAAGUCUUCUGUCACAGUUGACUCAGCAAGAAUGAAGACAUUGAUACACUUUUACGUUAUGGAAUACACAAGGUGGCAGUUCCUCGCCCACUGCUACCCAAAUACAGGUAUAAGAAAUCCUUAUCUGUACGUAACAGACGCUGGAGACGAAGUGAUUAUUAUGUGUGGCAAAAGAUUAUUUUAUGAA